GAAGGAUCCUUUAAAUGACUCGGUUGUGCCUGAUGGCUACCAGGAAUAUAUUCGCCCAAUGCUAAAGCAACAGCUCCGUAAUGCAAGACUUUGAAGAAUAUAGAAGCCUAUGGUAAGUAAUAAUGCUAAUAAAGCUGGCAAAGGAUGGAGAUUCAUUAUCUUGGAAACCAUUAGAUUAUUCGCAUAUUGUGGUUGAUAGUCAUUUUUGCCAUAUCCAAAUUAUUCGCAAACUUUUUUUUUUUUGUAUAUUUCGACAAAUAG
rnacentral:misc_RNA from 1 species